AUGGCAGCCAUGUUCCUCCACAUGCCAUCUUUCUGCACCUUCCAUCAGUGUCUCAAACCUCCAGCAACUGCUGGAGGAGAUGAGAUCAAGGCUCCCUUGGACUUUACAUUUUGGGCUGCCUCUGCCUUUGAAGAUGUUCACUUAGAUUAUAACAGUUUCACGCUGUGUUCUUACAAUUCCCCGCUGAACUUCGGCCAAGGGACCCAAGUGACUGUCUUAGAGGAUGGAUUCCAUAUCACCCCCCCCAAAGUGGCCAUCUUUCCCCCGUCGAAGCAGGAGAUCAAAGAGAAGAGGAAGGCCACCCUGGUGUGCCUGGUCACAGAUUUCUACCCUGACCACAUCAAGCUGGUUUGGCGGGUGAACAAUGUUGAGAGGAAAGAGGGGGUGAGGACAGAUGAAUCUAUCAAGAACGAAACCUCAAAAAAAUACUCUCUGACCAGCCGCCUGAGGAUCUCACACCAGGAAUUUUCCAACUCCAAGAAUAGAUUCCACUGCUUUGUUGAGUUCUACGGGAAUAACAAACAAACAUAUGAUAAAGUCAUCAGUGGUGUAGCUGAUUGCAGGGUCUCAGAAGAGUCGUAUCUGAGAAGUGCCAUGGCAAGCAAGAGUGUGUAUGUUCUGCUCAUUUUCAAGAGUGCCUUGUAUGGGGUCUUUGUGAUGGGGCUAAUGCUAAGGAACAAGCAAGUGCAGUAGAAGAAGCUGGCCUGAGGCGGAUGGCACAGCUGCCUGGAGAAAGAAGGAGCUGCAGCUGCAUUCAUUUUACAAGUCCUGAUUUGUUUCAGAAACCAGCACAACACUUAGGCUUUUGUUACAAUAAAUAUACAAAGAUCGCAAUUUGGAGUUGUCUGGCUAUAUUUGCUUGUUUGAAACAGCAGCUUUUAAUAAACACUUAUGGAAUCCUUAA